GAUGAACGCUGGCGGCGUGCUUAGCACAUGCAAGUCGAACGAAGCAUUUAAGACAGAUUCCUUCGGUUUGAAGUCUUUUAUGACUGAGUGGCGGACGGGUGAGUAACGCGUGGGUAACCUGCCUCAUACAGGGGGAUAGCAGCUGGAAACGGCUGUUAAUACCGCAUAAGCGCACAGUACCACAUGGUACAGUGUGAAAAACUCCGGUGGUAUGAGAUGGACCCGCGUCUGAUUAGCUUGUUGGCGGGGUAACGGCCCACCAAGGCGACGAUCAGUAGCCGACCUGAGAGGGUGACCGGCCACAUUGGGACUGAGACACGGCCCAGACUCCUACGGGAGGCAGCAGUGGGGAAUAUUGCACAAUGGAGGAAACUCUGAUGCAGCGACGCCGCGUGAGUGAAGAAGUAGUUCGCUAUGUAAAGCUCUAUCAGCAGGGAAGAUAGUGACGGUACCUGACUAAGAAGCUCCGGCUAAAUACGUG
rnacentral:rRNA from 1 species